rnacentral:rRNA from 1 species
AGAACGAACGCUGGCGGCAUGCCUAACACAUGCAAGUCGAACGAGAUCCUUCGGGGUCUAGUGGCGCACGGGUGCGUAACGCGUGGGAAUCUGCCCUUAGGUACGGAAUAACUCAGGGAAACUUGUGCUAAUACCGUAUGAUGUCUUCGGACCAAAGAUUUAUCGCCUAGGGAUGAGCCCGCGUAGGAUUAGCUAGUUGGUGGGGUAAAGGCCUACCAAGGCUACGAUCCUUAGCUGGUCUGAGAGGAUGAUCAGCCACACUGGGACUGAGACACGGCCCAGACUCCUACGGGAGGCAGCAGUGGGGAAUAUUGGACAAUGGGCGAAAGCCUGAUCCAGCAAUGCCGCGUGAGUGAAGAAGGCCUUCGGGUUGUAAAGCUCUUUUACCCGGGAAGAUAAUGACUGUACCGGGAGAAUAGCCCCGGCUAACUCCGCGCCAGCAGCCGC